GGGGAAUUUUCCGCAAUGGGCAAAAGCCUGACGGAGCAAUACCGCGUGAGGGAUGAAUGCCUGUGGGUUGUAAACCUCUUUUCUUAGGGAAGAAUUUUGACGGUACCUAAGGAAUAAGCAUCGGCUAACUCCGUGCCAGCAGCCGCGGUAAUACGGGGGAUGCAAGCGUUAUCCGGAAUUACUGGGCGUAAAGCGUCUGUAGGUGGCUCAAUAAGUCUGCUCUUAAAUCUUGGGGCUCAACCCUAAACAAGGAGUAGAAACUGUUAAGCUAGAGUAUGGUAUGGGUAGAGGGAAUUCCCAGUGUAGCGGUGAAAUGCGUAGAUAUUGGGAAGAACACCAGUAGCGAAAGCGCUCUACUGGGCCAUCACUGACACUCAGAGACGAAAGCUAGGGGAGCG
rnacentral:rRNA from 1 species